UACAGAGGUCUCAAGCGUUGUUCGGAUUCAUUGGGCGUAAAGGGUGCGUAGGUGGCGCGGUAAGUCGGGUGUGAAAUCUUGGAGCUUAACUCCGAAACUGCAUUCGAUACUGCCGUGCUUGAGGACUGGAGAGGAGACUGGAAUUUACGGUGUAGCGGUGAAAUGCGUAGAUAUCGUAAGGAAGACCAGUGGCGAAGGCGGGUCUCUGGACAGUUCCUGACGCUGAGGCACGAAGGCCAGGGGAGCAAACGGG
rnacentral:rRNA from 1 species